CCUACCCAAUCCCCUCUCUCUCUAUCUAAAGCAGAAGACGGCUCUUUUCCUUCUCUGAAUUAAAAGCCCAAGAGGAUUUUCUCUCGGUGUGCUCAAGGUACUCCCAAUCAAACUUGAGUCUUUUUUUACAGGUACAUAAGUAGAUCCCAUAUGAAAACUCCUCCAAAUGAAACCAUGCUAGCAGAGGACUUUGCUUCAAUUGUAGAAAACUCAUGAGAAACAAUUUCUGGUGAUUUAGUUUCAUACAGUGGGAAAAUAUUUUCAAGUCAUGAUAAUGCUUAUGAAUUUUACAAGAGUUUUGCCAAAGCAUGGGGGUUUUCAGUGCGUCGUCAACAAACAAUUGGAAAAGAAGUUGGUGGCAAUGUAACUACUACAAGAUACUAUGUUUGCCAUAGGUCAGGCCAUUUAACAAACAAAGAAUUAUCUGCAAAUAAUGGAGAAAGAGAUCAUCAAAGAGAUGCAAUUGUGGAGCACAUAUGAGUAUCGCAAAAGUCAUGGAUUCUGAUAUUUUAUAUUGACACGUUGUAACCUUUGAUAAUUUACACAAUCAUGAUGUUCUCAAGCCCAAGAAGUUGGAUUUUUGCCUGCUUAUCGUAGUAUUUCAGAAUGCUACAAGCAUCGCAUUCUACAAUUUUCCAAAGUUUGUAUAUGUGUUAGAGAUAUGAUGCGGUUGUUUGAAAUAGAGAUAAGUCUUAAACCAAGGGAAUUACCAUUUAUAGAUAAGGAUGUCUAUAACUUUGUAUGUGCUAUAAACAAUGCGAACCGCGACACUGAUGCUCAUAUUCUCUUAACAAAAUGUAAGCAAAUGAAAGAUAGAGAUAAAGAUUUUAAGUACCAUUUUACAGUUGGUGAAGGUAAAAACAUAUUGUUUGGUCCCAUGGUUCUUGUUAUCGUGCAUAUGAGAUUUUCGGUGAUGUGGUAGUUUUCGAUGUAACCUACCGGUCAAAUGGUUACCCUAUGCCAUUCAGCAUAUGGGAGGGUAUCAAUAACCAUGGUGACACUUGUUUAUUUGGGUGUGUUCUACUACGAGGCGAAAGAAUUCAAUCCUUUUCAUGGGCAAUGAAGGUAUAUGAUCAUCUACAAAUUUUGAGCUUUGAAUUCUUUGAUAUUGUUACCCAUGAUGUGUGUUUGAGCAGGCUUAUAUGUUUCUAGUGUUUAUAAAGCAUGAUAUGGUUGUAGGCAUUUGUAGGUCUAAUAAAUGGAAAGAUGCCAACAAACAAUCCUAACUGAUAAUAACUUGGCUCUCAAAGAAGCAAUCAGUAAGGAACUCCCCAACAUUAAAUAUACAUUUUGUAUAUGGCACUUAUUAUCAAAAUUAUUCGGUUGAUUUUUCCUUCUCCUUGGUAAAAGAUACAAUGAGUUUGACACUGAUUUUUACAAGUUAUAUAAUCUUAAGUCCAUUGAAGAUUUUGAAGAAGGCUGACAUGCAUUAGUCAAUAAGUUUGCAUUGCAUUUAAAUAGACAUAUUAACAACUUGUUAAAUUUAAAAGAGUUUUGCGUAUUACCAUACUUGAGAAGCCAAUUUUUUGCUAGAAUGAAGACAACUGACGUUUAGAGUCCAAUGCAUCUGGGAAACAAUUCUUGGGUUCACAAAUUCUGCUUAGUGAAUUGAUAGAUCAGAUGACAGUUGUGUAGUGGGUCAACAACGCUUGAUGCAACAAAAGUCCAACAAUGUGGAUGUUUGAACAAUGUGCCCUUUCGAAGACUAUGCAGCACACGUCUUAACUCCUUGUACAUUUUCUAAGAUACAAGAAGAAAUUAUUUCAUCUUUCAAUAGUUAACAUUUAGAAAGAAUGAUGGAACCUAUGAAGUGACACACUUUUCAAAGAAAGAGAAAGAGUAAAAGUUUCCUUGAUGGUUAAAGAUAAUGUUAUGAAUUGCAGUUAUAAAGGGUUCGAGUUGACAGGUAUCAUAUGCAGGCACUUCUAUUCACGUUCUCUUCAGGGAGAAUUUUAUUCAAAUUCCAAACUGAUAUCUGCCAAAAGGUUGGAGACACUCUACAUCAUUGAUAUCAAAUGUUGGCUUGAGCACAUCAGCUGCAUAUGUUGAGUAUGUCCAAACUAUAUAAUCACUAACAUCAACAACUGGUACAAAAGGUGCAAGAUUUGAUGAUUGUUACAAGUUCAUUAUGGAGAAAUUUUCAAGAAUUUUGGAACAUGUUGAAGAAGUAGAAUGCAUGAGGUCUCCUAUGGUUGAUGAAACAUCUAUUGCAAGUUUAGCAACUAAAGAGUAUUAAAAUGAACUUCAUUAUAAAAGUGUCUAUAUAAAAAACCCUGUUUUGUCUAGUACAAAAGGGCAGCCUCCUGAAAAAAGGUUAAAGCCCCAUGUUGAAGUUGCCAAGAAACCUAGAUACUGUAAGGUUUCUUCAUGUAGCCAAACUGGCCAUGAUUAUAGGAAUAGUACAUUAAGAAGAGUUAAUUUAGUAGGUAAUCAUUAUAUGUUAGAGAACAUCAUUCUUGGUGUAAUGUUGACACAAUUUUAGGGCUAGAAAUGCUACUUUGCAUAUGAGAUUUUGGAGCAUUUACAUGUGACAACUUUGUAUAUGUGAUUUUGGAGUUGUACAUAAUGAUUAUUGUAAGGUUGA